rnacentral:rRNA from 1 species
UACAGAGGGGGCAAGCGUUAUUCGGAAUUAUUGGGCGUAAAGGGCGCGUAGGCGGCCUGGCAAGUGGAAGGUGAAAUCCCUCGGCUUAACCGAGGAACUGCCCUCCAAACUGCUUGGCUUGAGUCCGGGAGAGGUGAGUGGAAUCCCCAGUGUAGCGGUGAAAUGCGUAGAUAUUGGGAGGAACACCAGUGGCGAAAGCGGCUUCCUGGUCCAGCACCGACGUCAGGCACGAAAGCGUGGGGAGCAAACAGG